AGAGUUUGAUCAUGGCUCAGAAUGAACGUUGGCGGCGUGGAUUAGGCAUGCAAGUCGAGCGAGAACCCAGCAAUGGGGGACAGCGGCGAAAGGGACAGUAAUGUGUAGAUUAUCUGCCCUCGGGUCCGGGAUAGCUGCGGGAAACUGCAGGUAAUACCGGAUAACAUCUCCGGAUCAAAGGUGUGAUUCCGCCCGAGGAUGAGUCUGCAUCCUAUUAGCUUGUUGGUGGGGUAAUGGCCUACCAAGGCUUUGAUGGGUAGCGGGUGUGAGAGCACGACCCGCGUCAUUGGGACUGAGACACUGCCCAGACACCUACGGGUGGCUGCAGUCGAGAAUCUUCGGCAAUGGGCGCAAGCCUGACCGAGCGACGCCGCGUGUGGGAUGAAGGCCUUCGGGUUGUAAACCACUGUCAGAGGGGAUGAAAUGCAGGUGGGUUCUCCCACUUGUUUGACAUAGCCUCAGAGGAAGGACGGGCUAAGUUCGUG
rnacentral:rRNA from 1 species